rnacentral:rRNA from 1 species
GAAUGCGUCUCGGUCAAAGCUCAUCCUUGUGGUGUGGCUGGACUGGCGUUUCCUAUCUUCCGAUAGUGGGGUCAAACUCGCUUCGGAUCGUUUACUUUGAAAAAAUUAGAGUGUUUCAGGCAGGCAAUUGCUUGGAUACUGCAGCAUGGAAUAAUGGAAUAGGACUUUGAUCUAUUUGUUGGUUUCUCGAGAUCAAAGUA